rnacentral:lncRNA from 10 species
GGAGCAAUUAGGACGCAUUCACUUGGAUAUCAUAUCAUAUAAUCAUCUCAACUCCAAAUAUGACGUUGGCACUGUUAUUUCCAUUUUACAAAUGAAGAGAUGAGGUUGAGAGGUAUCGUUUAUUAUCUUGGCCUAUAAGUACAUGGAAGAGUUGGAAUUCGAACUGAGAGCCAGGAUAUGAACUUACAAGUGCCUUGCUUUAGCACUGCCUGUCCCAGAAGGAUUGUACCUUUCUGCUUCUCCAGAAACUAACUAAAGAUUUUCUCACCUGCUGAGAGUUGAGGAUGUUGCUUCAGGCAUGUUCAGACUUCUGGAGGGGAGCAUUGACCUGAAACCACAGUGGGCUAAUAACAGUAACUUCCAAAAUUGAAGACUGAACCACAGCAGUCAAACUUAUCAACCUUUUGAUCAAAACCGGUGACUAAAAGGAAUAUGAAACCUGUGAUACAGUUUCAGAAAACCUUAUUUCAAAUCUUAUUCAUAUUAACAUGGCCACUGUCACAUGUGCUG